rnacentral:lncRNA from 1 species
CAUGGAAUCCUUACAUAGAUUCCUACUGUUAAAAGCUGAUUUUGUUACCAAUUCAACUCUGUACAUAUUUCUUCGAUUAAUUUCCUGUUUUUGAUUAAAGUUCCAGUGUUUAAAGCACACUUCAAUAACAGCUGUAAAAUAAAGUUCUGCGUUUGUAACUACCUAAUAAUUUGUUUAACGUUUUUAAAGUUUCAUUCCUUCAAUUCUGUGGUUGUAUGGUUUUUAUACUAGCAAAGAAAGUCCUAAUGUGUCGUCUGAUACAAUAUUACACCGCCGGUGAAUGUCCUAGGUGUGUGCGGUACUAAAACCUUUCUUUUCGUUUCUCAAUAAUAUUCACAUAUUCCUUGUUAUUAGAGUCUAAAAUCAUAUCCUUUUUAUUCGAUUUUAUUAAUUGAUCAAUUGUUUUUUCAAUAAGUCCGUUCUUAUCCAAAUUCCAGAAUAUUUGUCACAGUAUAGCAAAUUCUAUUCUUACAUCGUGCUGUUGUAUCCAUCCUCUGAUAUAUAGUAUUUUUACAGUUAUCUUUG